rnacentral:rRNA from 1 species
AAUCAACGCUGGCGGCGUGCCUAACACAUGCAAGUCGCACGAGAAAGGGGAGCAAUCCCUGAGUAAAGUGGCGCACGGGUGAGUAACACGUGAAUCAUCUACCUCCGAGUGGGGAAGUAACUGAGAGAAAUCUUAGCUAAUACCGCAUAACACUUACGAGUCAAAGCAGCAAUGCGCUUGGAGAGGAGUUCGCGGCCGAUUAGUUAGUUGGCGGGGUAAGNGG